rnacentral:rRNA from 1 species
UACAGAGGGGGCAAGCGUUGUUCGGAAUUACUGGGCGUAAAGGGCGCGUAGGCGGCCGCCUAAGUCAGACGUGAAAUCCCUCGGCUCAACCGGGGAACUGCGUCUGAUACUGGAUGGCUAGAGUGUGGGAGAGGGAUGCGGAAUUCCAGGUGUAGCGGUGAAAUGCGUAGAUAUCUGGAGGAACACCGGUGGCGAAGGCGGCAUCCUGGACCACGACUGACACUGAAAAGCGAAAGCCAGGGGAGCAAACGGG